UGCCGUCGACCCCGACGACGCCGGGGACGCCGUCGUCGUCGACGACGCCGCGCGGCGGCAACAACGUGUGGCGCAGCGUGUUCCACCCCGGGAGCAACCUGGCCACCAAGAGCAUGGGCGCCAACCUCUUCGACCGCCCGCAGCCCAACUCCCCCACCGUCUACGACUGGUAAGCGCCGCCGUCCAUGGUCUCCAUGCGCCGGCAUCUCUCUGCCGUCCUCACCGUCCUUUGGUUUAUACUCCGUAUUAGUACUUAGCAGCAGGAUGAUCUCUACUUAGCAGUACCAUAUGGUUUGAUUGCAUACUACACUAGUACUAUGCUGAUCUUCCAAGGCUCAGAGCAGAGCAUCAAAGCAGGUGAUUUAGCUGAAUGAAUGAUUACUGUUUCUGUUUCAAACACCACAAUAAGCAGGUCAACUAGCUAGUGAGCCGUGAGGUUAGCACUAUGUUUCUGUUUCAAGCCCCCCCCCCCCCCCCCCCCCCCCCCCCCCCCAACCAUAAGCAGAUGAACUAGGUAUUCAGUUAGCACUAAACAAAGGCAGCUCAGGAGCCACUUAGCACACCAUGAUUUGCUCGCAUGCUAAUCCAGAAGCACGGUCGACUAGUGCUACUGCUUGGUGUUUGCUGGAACGGAUAGGCCACUCUGGUCUCCGUUUCUCUAAUAUAAUACUAAUCUGCGAAAAUGAUCGGUCAUGUCAUUUGAGCUUCAGCGUUAUCAUCACGAGUCAUGAUCUGGGAUUGUUCUUUUUAUUUCAGGCUCUACAGCGACGAGACCAGGAGCAACCACCGUUAGAUCUCGGAUCGGGUGAGAUGAGAUCGACGGAGGAGCGGUGGCCGGUCCCUGUCAGGCCACAUGUUUGCUGGUCCUUGUGGUUAUCUAAAACGCAUGUACCACGGCUGCGUUGCUGUCCGAGGUUGGAGACUUUGCCUUUUAUUUAAUUUUGUCCUAUGUUAUGGACUAGGGAGUAAAAUGCUUAGUACUACUACUUGGUCAGUUCCUCUGACUCGAUCAACUUGGCCGCUGAGUGGUAGCGACCGGCGGGCCCUGUGAUGGGAACCCUUGUGAUUGGUGUGUAGUAGCUUCUCUCCAUCUGUAAAUAUUUGCUUGCGUGUAUCUGUAAUGGGAUAUGUCAAUCGUACUGUUUCUUUCGUGUUUGGUUUCCAAACCUUUGAUGUGUACCCCCACCGUCCCCAAAACUCUUCCUUUAUCCUUCAAAACGUCCCCAAAACUCUUCCUUUAUCCUUCAAGAGUUUUCGUGCUGUACAAUAAAGAUCGUCUCAUAAUACCUUCGGCCUCAUACUUGUUCAAAUAACAAGUAGACCAUUUACUUCCGCCAUCGAUGUCUGAAUCUGAGUCAAACUUCCGCCAUCGAUAUCCGAACCGAGUCGAACUUCCGCCAUCGAUGCCCGAAUCGAUGCCCGAGUCCAGAUUCACUGAAUAAGGAUGAAUAUCCGAAAGGAUGAAUAUCCGAAUUGAGUCGAACUUUCGCCAUUGAUGCCCGAGUCCAGAUUCACUAAAUCGAUGCGAUGUCCGAGUCUGCGAUGUCCGAGUCCAGAUUCAUUGAAUAAGGAUGAAUCCCGAGUCCAGAUUCACUGAAUAAGGAUGGAUAAGGAAGGUUAAUAGAACAAGUCGACUAUCGAUGACUCGGGGUCGAUCAUUUACUUCCGUCAUCGAUGCCCGAACCUGAGUCGAACUUCCGUCAUCGAUGCCCGAGUCCAGAUUCACUGAAUAAGGCUAAUAGAACAAGUCGACCAUCGAUGCCUGAACCCGAGUCGAACUUCCACCAUCGAUGCUCGAGUCGAACUUCCACCAUCGAUGCCGAGUCCAGAUUCUCUGAAUAAGGAUGAAUAAGGAAGGGUUCAACAAUAAGGAAGGCUAAUAGGUCCAAUAAUUACUGCAAACGGGUAUGAAUAAUUAAUUCUACUCGGUAAUUCAUCCAUCCGAUUAUGAAGAGGUACUAGGGGUACUAUCUUAUCUCUAAAAGGGUACUAUAUUGUCUAAAAUUUUUUAAACAAACAGUCUUUAUAGGACAGAUAGUUUCCGGCGCUGAGAUGAUGAUUGGUCAUGGUUAUUACUCAAAUGUUAUAUUUGCUUUAGAUGUGAGCAGCGGCAAUAAUUGCAAAUAAAUUUAUUGAUAAUUAGAAUAUCAAGGCACGAGGAUCAGAAAAAAGUUGUUUGCAUUUAUUAGAUGAUAGAAUUAGAAUUAUUUUUUUUAAUUAUUAUGUUAAGGUGAAAGAUUUUAUUAAAAGAAAAUGAAGGGAAUACUUGUGAGUCGUCAACUGCUCGCCUUUCCAGCACGUGUUCAAACGAGGUGAAUCUGCCUUUGACGAAUCAGAGAGCCCAGGGAGAGGUGAAUGGAAUUCCAUGGAUUAACAUAUUCAUUGCACGUCUAUGUAUACCUUAGGUCAAUCUCAAUGUAAAGUUUCAUAGGAGUUAUUUGUGCAUUAAAUACUAUAUCACAUUAGUAAUUUCGCUGACUUUGUAUGGUUAUUAUGAGAAGAGAGAAGGGGAAGUUUGAUCGGAUGAGAGAGGGGUUUCAUCCUCGUGGCACUUAACAAACUUUGUACUGUAUAAUAAAAUUGUACACUGAGAUAGAUCUUACUGAAUUUAGCCUAUGGUAAAAGUUGUAAUGUCAGUCCAUCGACACACGAACUAAUAAUUUAAAAGGUUGCCAUGUCGUCAUGGGGCAGCUGUGUAGGGCCCAUCGACACACGAACUAAUAAUUUAAAAGGUUGCCAUGUCGUCAUGGGGCAGCUGUGUAGGGCUUGGUGACCGUGACUUUGUAAGCAUUUGGAGGUUGGGAUGAAGGGAUGAAAAAACCAAUGCGAGGACUUAAGCUUUAGUCUCUCCCAAAAUUUCUGUCACAUCGAAUGUUUAGAUACUAAUUAGGAGUAUUAAAUAUAGACUAAUUAUAAAACUAAUUGCACAGAUGGAGACUAAUUCAUGAGACGAAUCUAUUAAGCCUAAUUAGUUCAUGAUUUGACAAUGUGAUGCUACAGUAAACAUGUGCUAAUGAUGAAUUAAUUAGGCUUAAUAGAUUCGUCUCGUGAAUUAGCCUCCAUCUGUGUAAUUAGUUUUAUAAUUAACUUAUAUUUAGUCCUCCUAAUUAGCCUCCGAAUAUUCGAUGUGACAUAAAUUUUAGGAGAUCCUGAAGAUCAAUCUGGUUCACGUCGCAGCAGAUCAGUACGGUACUACAGUACGAGCGACGCAAAGUACUGAUUGAUCCACGAAGUCCAGUGAUCAGCGUGCCAGGUCGACCCUCAUCUUCGGUCUCCGGACCCUGCUAGAUAGUGCCAAACUGCUCCGCAUGAGUACGUGUCACCUUAGCGCGGUGAUGUUGCAGCGGAAUCCCGUCAUGUCAUAGCGAGACACAGGGUCGGGACUCUUUGCAAUACAUUAUACAACCAUGUACAGAACGCAAACAUGCAACAACAACAACAUCAUCUAUAUUUUACAAAGGAUCGUCCAGGAGGUUUAUAAUGGAAGGAGAGGGUCAAUGAUACUAUAAGAUGUUUGGAGAACUUAAUUGAUUAUCUGCUCACCUUGUUACUUUUUGUUUGGGUUGUGAAUUGAAAUAUGUUGAUUCAUCGUCAUCUCAUUCUUCACAAAUUAAUAAUCAGUAAUGAAGAAUAGACUCAUUCUACUAAAUUUACAAAGCGUUUGGAUGGACGAUACAAAUCUAACACUACUAGAGGAUGAACUUUUAGUACCGAGCCUAAAGCCCUCAGGUUCUACUAGAGAAUUGACUUUUAAUACUUGGAUGGGAUCCCCUUUAGUAUACAGGUUUCGAAAUCGGUACCGCUACGUCGGUAAAGUGGGGAUCUUUAGUACCAUGCUAUUCACACAAUUUUCACCUGAAAUAUGCGCGUAUGCGGUAAGUGGAAUUCAAACCUGGGAUCACUAGUCUCACGCGAGCCUUCCUUACUAUCUCACCUACACAACAUAUGUGAUGGAGCUAAAGAUACUUUUCUUUUGAAGUACCCUAUAGAGAAACUUUUAAUACCGAGUCGUAACCCCACAUAUUACUGAAAGGAAACUUUUGACACCGGGUGGUGUUACACCGAUACCUUUUAGUCCGGGCGAUGUUAAUUAUAAUCUGGUACUAAAAGAUAUUGGGAGAGCUAUGAAAUUUUAAACCUGGUACUAAUAUUAGCAUUAGUAUCGGAUCCAAAUUUGGUUCGUACUGACUUGUUAGACGAAUGCUCAUUUCUUUUGUGGUGUAAAUCAAAAUCUAUGCCCCUGUAUGGUCUGAGUCACGGCAUAGCCACAUCUAGCCUGGCCCAUGUAGCGUUAGGGCAAGCCAAUUUGCAGAAUCAACUCUUUCCAUGCGAAAUUGCAGUAUGACACCGCCCGUUUGCCUACGGGGUCGACUGGUGCUGGAUAAGACCAUUGUUCAAUCGAGGAGGCUAACCAGAGGCACCACAUUAUCGAGGGACACAAGCUUUCCAAAUUCCAAUGUUACAGAGAAGGUUGCUGCCCCUGCUCCCCUUCAUCCACCUCCUCUAGCAAAUGAGCUGCCUGAAGAUCUGCUAGGUGUCCUCACAAGCCUUCCAGGCUUUGAGGAGGCACACAUAUCCUACUACUAUGCAUACCUGGUUGCCAACCCUCAUAUUGCUAAGGUCUUCUACGUUAAACUGGGUUUGCUUUCUUCAUCGCCGACAAGCUCUCUAGGUGCUAAAGAAUGAACUGCUGGCUGCUACAUUUCUUUUGCUUGUAGCACUAACAAUGCACUGCGGUUUAAUUUUGCCUUAAAUUUGUUAGUUUUGUAUGGGCUGUCACCCUCUUAAACAGCAUGCUACUGUGUGAUGGCAUUGUGCUCAUUUCAGUUAUAGAAUGCCUAAAGUCUGCUUACUUAAUUAAUCAGUAUGAUUUAUUGAUGUGUGUUAUGGAAUGUUUAUGGAAUGCCCAAACAUUUGAGAAGGAUGUUCUGAAGUAUACUCAUCUUGUGCUAUAUGCUGCCCGUCACGUUUAGGUGUCAAAACUUGCUACGUAUAGCAAAAAGGUGCACAUUUUGUUCACAGUCUGCAAGAUUUAGCACAGUUUGUUCCCACAGUGAUAAAAACUUCAGUUAAUUUCCACCUUUUUUCCUUUCUCAUUUAGCUACCAGUUUAACUUGCACGAGCUAGUGGACGUGGUGAUCAGCUAAAGGAAGUACCUUAUCAAUUGUACUCAAUGGAUGGUCAUAUCUAGCUAUCUAUCCUAGUUCCUCCAACCAUGGAACGGGACUAUUCCAUCCUCUUUCGUACCUCCAAUCGAACACGAAAUAGGGAGGAAUUCAUCCCUUCAAUCAAACAUGAGAUGAGCACGAUCACCCUCGAAAAGAGGGAUGACCCCAUCCCUCCUCCCCUUCAUCCAAACGUCUGCAAUUGAAAAAAAAUGAUUAGCCAAAUAUACGAGUAGUAUUCGGAACAUGUAUCGAGUUGAAGGCUGAAUAAACCCACCACUAGUACCAAAUUUCAAUUAACCAAGGAAUAAAUAAGACGUGUUUGUUUUUCAGUAUAACGGGGCUGGAGUGCACCACGACGACGGACGACGGGGCCCUGCGCAAAUUGGUGGUGUCGUUACGCCUGAUUGCUGGGUUUGGCCGGAUGCACAUUAUCUAUAUUACCUUCUUUAACUACUACUGUACUAUGUAUUUUGUAAUGUGAUCUGAGUGUACUACGAAUGGACUGAUGCCAAGCAUCUCUCUUUGCCAACCGUUUCAUGGCACCCAGCUUGUCCUUUCAAGGUGGCUUAUCGGUGGCUCAUUUCCCAUCUGAUGAUCAUAUCACUUGCGCUAUAAAUAGAGGAACGUCGUCUAAUUAAGCACAUCUCACACCGCCUCUCUUAUCUGACCAUCUCGAUCAGGAUAACCUGCCCAUUGCUAUACUGCUAGCAUCUCUCGAUCCCCUUUGCUAAGCUUGAGUCUGCCAUGACUUCCGCUGCUUCUCUCAAGACGAUGGGUGCCCUCUGCGUGCUGGUCCUGACCAUAGGGCAGCUGAUGGGCUGACGCGUCGCCGGACCACGAUGACAACUUCGCCGCGCUGCCUCGGAUUCUGCUCGCGGAGCCUGAGCUCUCCGGGAAGCUGGGCCUCCCAGAAGGCGUGGUCACCACCUCUUCAAGUGAAUGCUGCUCACAAUGUAUGACUGCAUGCGAGCUUGUGUGUACUGUUGCUAAUUGUUAGGCGAACAAUAUGCAGGACGCGUCAUGGUUCUUCUCAAUAAUAUGUUCAGAGUUACUAGCCGUCGACCCCGUACAUCUGCUUGGGCUAUACUUUACGAAGAAAAAAAAUGACAUUCAUCUAUACUCCAAAUAGUGUCUAAUUCUAUGGAGCGUACGUUUUUUCUAUCCUUCCGAAUAAUUAGGCUUCAGGGUCGAGCUAGUGUCUCUGUCUACUUGCCCAAGUGUACUCUCACUGUUUACUGUAUCACUGUAUGACGCGCGCGUAACAAGAAAUAAAGCCACUUGUUUAUCCUCUCUCUUUCCAUCAGUUGAAUGCCCUUCGAACAAAAAUGUACUUAGUUUUACAAUGGGUUCUCAUGGAGUCAUGGUAAAGAGCUUAUCGCCUUCCGGAGCGCUGUUAUUUAUGAAGGUCAAUUGCAAGCUUACUUCCUUCAUUGCAAGUUAUUUCUGGCUUAGAUACAUUAAAAAAUUAUAUAUUUAGAAAAAUCAAAACGAUGUAUAAUUUGAAAUGGAGAGAGUAUAUGGUAAUUUGGCUAUAAUUAGGAUCUCCAUUUUUUCCAUCUUGUUUUUUUCCUUCAUUUUUUCGAAGAGGCAAUGGAGUGAAGUUCAUUAUCCAGCCAUACUACUCACACCAUAGCCAAGAAAGAUGAUCACACAUUCACACAAUGGAUAAGCUACGUAACAACACAUAAACCAAAUCAGCCUUGGCUAAAUGAGCACACCAAACAUGUUGGUAGGAGACUAGGAGGAGGAGAAGGGCGGUGACACGAGAGGGAGUAGAAUGUAUGCAUGUAUGUAUGUAUGUAUUCGUUUAAAUUUAGUACUACGUAGUUUGUGAAAUCAGUUGGCCCCUGGUCUGACCGUGGAAAUGCACUAGGUGGACGAAGCAAUUGGGAGCUUAUGUAGCCCCACGGGCGAUUGACACGUAGUGGAGAGAGAAGAGGAGGAACAAGUAGACAAGUACUCCCCAUUUUGGUAUUUUUAGAUUCAUAACAUGUAUUAUAUAUAGAUAUAAGUGUAUAUCUAGGUGUACAACAAAAUAUAUGAAUAUAAAAAUACCAAAAUGACCUACAAUUUGGAACGGAGGGAGUAGUACGGUAAUUUGAUGCUAAUGAGAAAAAGGACCAUGGAACGUUGUUCUGACGACCAAGGUACCGGCGGCACCAAAGGAAUAAUUAUCUUUUUUUCAUAAAUCAGCUUUUAACUAAGCCUGCAAUCAAAAGAUGAAUACUCCUUUGAAGAUUUUCAACAUAUUCUUGCACACAUCUUUCAAACAAAAUAAAUUCAAAAUAUCCAUCUACAUUUUUUUUUCAUUUUCAACAUACAUUUAGCACGCAAAUGUUGCUGGAAAAGUACAUGUACCAUAUUUUUUCACAAAUGUUGCAACGAGUAUUUUAUAAUAAAUUUUGAAGCACUUGAAAAUCAUGUAAAUACUUUAUUGUGUUUGUAUAGGACAUUAUCAAGUAUGAACUUACAACAAAAAAAAAAUAAAAA
rnacentral:lncRNA from 1 species